rnacentral:tRNA from 1 species
GCCUGGGUGGCUCAGUCGGCUGAGCGUCUGACUUCAGCUCAGGUCAGGAUCUCACAGUUCACGGGUUCGAGCCCCGCGUCGGGCU